rnacentral:rRNA from 1 species
ACGGGUGAGUAACACGUGGGUAACCUGCCUGUAAGACUGGGAUAACUCCGGGAAACCGGGGCUAAUACCGGAUGGUUGUCUGAACCGCAUGGUUCAGACAUAAAAGGUGGCUUCGGCUACCACUUACAGAUGGACCCGCGGCGCAUUAGCUAGUUGGUGAGGUAACGGCUCACCAAGGCAACGAUGCGUAGCCGACCUGAGAGGGUGAUCGGCCACACUGGGACUGAGACACGGCCCAGACUCCUACGGGAGGCAGCAGUAGGGAAUCUUCCGCAAUGGACGAAAGUCUGACGGAGCAACGCCGCGUGAGUGAUGAAGGUUUUCGGAUCGUAAAGCUCUGUUGUUAGGGAAGAACAAGUGCCGUUCAAAUAGGGCGGCACCUUGACGGUACCUAACCAGAAAGCCACGGCUAACUACGUGCCAGCAGCCGCGGUAAUACGUAGGUGGCAAGCGUUGUCCGGAAUUAUUGGGCGUAAAGGGCUCGCAGGCGGUUUCUUAAGUCUGAUGUGAAAGCCCCCGGCUCAACCGGGGAGGGU